CAAGUCUUGACAUCGGAAUGACCGUCUCGUAACGGAGACUUCCCUUCGGGGCAUUCCAGACAGGUGGUGCAUGGUUGUCGUCAGCUCGUGUCGUGAGAUGUUGGGUUAAGUCCCGCAACGAGCGCAACCCUUAUCCUUAGUAGCCAGCAGUUCGGCUGGGCACUCUGGGGAGACUGCCAGGGAUAACCUGGAGGAAGGUGGGGAUGACGUCAAAUCAUCAUGCCCCUUAUGAUUUGGGCUACACACGUGCUACAAUGGCGUAAACAAAGGGAAGCGAAGGAGUGAUCUGGAGCAAAUCUCAAAAAUAACGUCUCAGUUCGGAUUGUAGUCUGCAAC
rnacentral:rRNA from 1 species